CUUCUGUUAUUGAUUUUUAAUAUCAAUCCAUUGAUGUUGGAGAACAUACAUUGUCUGAUUUCGAUUAUUUUACAUUUAUUGCAGCUUGUUAUAUGGUCUAACAUAUGGCCUAUCCUGGAGAAUUAUUCCACGAGCACUUGGGAAGAAUGUGAAUUCUGUUGCUGUUAGGUAGCUGUGAUGUUAAACAAUUACCACUCAUUGUUUUGGACAAUCCCUUGGGGAUAGAGCCCUCUUCACCGAGCAAACCCUAGUUCAGACUUGUACUAAAACAAUUUUGUGGAUUUCAAAGAUUAAUGGCAAAAUCAACAAAAGUAGAGAAAAAUUCAGCCUACAAGAGGUUCCAGAGAGUUCCCUAGCUUCUUCCAGCAUGUGAGGAUACAAUCGGAAGUCUGAGACAUGGAAGACGGUCCUCACCAACCCUGCUGGCACUCUGAGCUCAGACUUCCAUCCUCCAGAACUGUGAGAAAUAAAUUUCUGUUGUUUAUAAGCCACCCAAUCUGUGAUAUUUUGUUAGAGCAGACAAAUGUACUAUGACAAGGACAAUGCUGAAUGGUGUGUUUGUGUGUGCUUAAAAAGGGUUACAAAGAAGAGACUUAAAGAAGGACCCACUGUUUUGGGCCAAAUUCCUUUUAUCUUCAAAAAAACAACAAAAAAAGUAAAAAAACAAAAAAGUAUUUUUCUUGGUUCUUUUUCCAAAGUGUGGCUUUCAUGUGUACUUUUUAAUAGAAAGGAUUCUUUGGCAAUGAAAAAGCUAGUCUUAAUUGACUUCCCACUCUCCCCAGCAGCAAGUGACUUGCUGGUGACUAGGGCUGUAAAGGAACAGCUCCUCCUGGCAAGCACGGUCUUCCCCCCCCAUCCCCACCCCACACACUAAAAUGUCAUAUAUUCACAUAGUGCAAAAUUUUCAAAAAAUGUAAAAAGGCAUAUAGUGAAAACUUGUCCUCUUGUCCUGUCCACCGUUUACACAGCUCUCUUUUCCACACACACACACAGCCAUAAUUAAUUCUUAUAUAUUCUUGACAGAUUAUUCUUAACAGAUUUCUUUAUGAAUU